rnacentral:rRNA from 1 species
GUGGGGAAUAUUCCGCAAUGGACGAAAGUCUGACGGAGCAACGCCGCGUGAGUGAUGAAGGUUUUCGGACUGUAAAGCUCUGUUGUUUGGGACGAAAGUGCCUGUUGCGAACAGUUACGGGUAUUGACGGUACUAAACGAGGAAGCCACGGCUAACUACGUGCCAGCAGCCGCGGUAAUACGUAGGUGGCAAGCGUUGUCCGGAAUUAUUGGGCGUAAAGAGCAUGUAGGCGGGAAUCUAAGUCUGUUGUUAAAAUGCGGGGCUCAACCCCGUAUUGCGAUGGAAACUGGGUUUCUUGAGUGCAGGAGAGGAAAGGGGAAUUCCCAGUGUAGCGGUGAAAUGCGUAGAUAUUGGGAGGAACACCAGUGGCGAAGGCGCCUUUCUGGACUGUGUCUGACGCUGAGAUGCGAAAGCCAGGGUAGCGAACGGGAUUAGAAACCCGAGUAGUCC